UGCGUAGGCGGUGUGGAAAGUCGGAUGUGAAAUACCUCAGCUUAACUGAGGAACUGCACUCGAUACUUCCAUGCUAGAGUAAGACAGAGGUGAGUGGAACUGAGGGUGGAGCGGUGAAAUGCGUUGAUAUCCUCAGGAACACCGGUGGCGAAGGCGACUCACUGGGUCUUUACUGACGCUGAUGCACAAAGCUAGGGUAGCAAACG
rnacentral:rRNA from 1 species